CCUACGGGUGGCAGCAGUGGGGAAUAUUGGACAAUGGGGGCAACCCUGAUCCAGCCAUGCCGCGUGUGUGAAGAAGGCCCUCGGGUUGUAAAGCACUUUCAGUGAGGAAGAACGCCUGGUGGUUAAUACCCAUCAGGAAAGACAUCACUCACAGAAGAAGCACCGGCUAACUCCGUGCCAGCAGCCGCGGUAAUACGGAGGGUGCGAGCGUUAAUCGGAAUUACUGGGCGUAAAGCGCGCGUAGGUGGCUUGAUAAGCCGGUUGUGAAAGCCCCGGGUUCAACCUGGGAACGGCAUCCGGAACUGUCAAGCUAGAGUGCAGGAGAGGAAGGUAGAAUUCCCGGUGUAGCGGUGAAAUGCGUAGAGAUCGGGAGGAAUACCAGUGGCGAAGGCGGCCUUCUGGACUGACACUGACACUGAGGUGCGAAAGCGUGGGUAGCAAACAGGAUUAGAUACCCUAGUAGUC
rnacentral:rRNA from 1 species